rnacentral:tRNA from 1 species
GGACUCUGGCUCAGCCGUAGAACAUCUGUUUGGCAGUUAGACAGUCCCAAGUUCAAUCCUUGGCAUCGCCA